GUACAACCUUGGAGUCCCCCAGGUUUUAUUUAUCAGCACUAAAGAGGCGCUCUGAGCGGCACACACACCUUCUAGAAAGGCAGUUUGGGCCUGAUUUGGUCUCCUUCGAAAGGUCAAAAUGAAAACUCUUGACACACACAUUGCAUCCAAGGUAAAAAUGGAAAAAAACAAAAAACAAAAAACCAAACCCCAAAACGAAACAGAACAAAAGGAACCACAAACCUCAGCGGUACCCAAGAACAGAAGGAAGCCCUUCCCCCUCCUGCCCUGGGAGGACAGCAUCCUGCAAGAGGACGUGGUGCCGACCCCUGGGUCGUGUCAGUGCAGGAGAUGCCCCCUGGACCAGUGGCAGUGCCACCCCCGGCCUUGAGGGUCCCAUGUGGCUGCUCCGACCUGACCGUGGGGCUGGAGCCAGAGAAGGACUUCUCGGGCCCCCGGUGCUGUGGGUUAGGCAGCCCCUCGUGCCUCCUGGCCCGACCCAUCCUCCAGGCAAAACAGAUCAAAGAAGCCUGUAUUCACAUUACAACGUGGAAAUAGCACCAGAAAUUUCGGAGUCAAAUGGCCGAUACUUGCAGCAGAGAGCUCCGUCCGUGUAGGAGGAGGGCUCGAGAGGGCAUCCGCGGGGGCUGGGCUGGGGGCUCUGGGGCGGGGAGGGAGGACCGGUGGGAGCUGGCCGGUCCCCAGGGGUCGAGGUGCACCGGAGACCCUUUUCCGUCAGCGCAUGGACAGUGGCCGGCAUGACCCUGUGGUCAGGGAGGCCCCACUGUGCCAUGUGGGGCCGGUGGCCCUUCUGCCCCCAUCUGAUUUCUAGGGUCACUUUGGAAUUCCAGCAACAGCAGCAACGCAACCAAGAGGGAGUCUGCCACCUUCUGACUGGCAGCUGCCUCAACUUACUUCCCUGCUCGAUGACAUGGGGGGGGGAGUCCCUGUGCAAACCUUCAAAGCAAAGGGGCUUUGUGGCAUAGUGGGCCUUGGCAGUGGGUUACACCGAGGAGGAGGUGAGCUCCUAUCUCUUUGAGGCCUUGCUACUGAGAAAACAGCUGCGCGGUCUCAAAGAGGCUGCAGCUGGCCCGCCCCUCACACCCACCUGCCAGCUAGAAAGGGACUGCUGUCCACUCCGGGCCCUGCUCAAAGCAUUGGAUCCGCAGCUCUAAACCCUAAGUCUAGGCACGGGCCUGGUAAGUCGGGGGAUUAAGACAUGGCCACCAGGCAAACUCUCCAAGGACUGGAGCGCCUCAGAGCCUCCUGGGGAUCCCGCUGCCGCGUGAGACACGGCUCCCAGGCCCUCGCUGCUCCGACACGUUACUCGCAAGAGUCCUUCUUUAAAGGGAUCUUGAAGCUGGUUAGUCUCUGCCCAAAGAGCUGGCUGAGGAGGUGGUUCUGGGACUCGGCAGUCCUGCAGGCCCGGGAGGUGGCCAGUUCAGCACCGUGGACAGCCCCGCCCCUCCUGGGGGGCCUGUGCAGGGGUCUUGCCUGGGGGAGGGUCUUGCCCAGCCCCUCCUUGCCGCGCCUGCCGACCCCCUGGAUGUGGCUGGGCUCCCCUUUCCGCAGCUCCGAGGGCUGGGGGGGCGUCUCACUGUUCUGGCUGCUGGGCCUGGGCUUGGCAGGGAGCACACGGCUGGGAGUGGCCUGCUUUCGGGGAGUCCGGGCGGGUCUGUCAGGGACCGAGGGGCCUCUCCCCAGGCUCCCCGCGGCUUCAUUCCUGGUUGGCCCCAGGGCCCGGCCCUUUCUUGUCUUCUCACUCAUGUCCCUGUCCUCCCUGGAGCCCAGGCUCCGUUUUGGCCCCUGGUCACCAGCUUCCCUUGGUCCCUUGGGGUAGCCCUUGGCUGGGGCGGGGCCCUGGCCCGGGCAGUUGGGCUUGGCUGGGGUGGUGGCUGUCUCACUUUGGAGCUGCCCGCUGGCCGGCUGGGGCUGGCUGCCGCCCGCCGUCUUGGUGCCCUGCUGGGGGCCUCCAGCACUCUGGGAGCUGGGGCCUGGCUUGGCUUUGCGGGUGGCGGGCUUCGGCCCGUCCUCAGUGCCGUGGGCUAGCUCUCUGGGUGUCGGGCUGGCCACCGCCUUCUUCAGUGGUCCUGGGAACCUGGGCGCUCUGCUGGGUGAGGAUGAGGCUGGUCUGUCCUUUGAUGAGCCCCGGCCGCCCCCAGGCUUGGUGGCACUGCCUCUGUGGGAGGGGCCUCCCGUACCCCCCACCAGCACCAUGGGACUGGUGGACCCCUGCUUCUCCUCCCAGAGCAGGGAGGGAGCUUCCGGGCGAUGGCCGGGGGCACGUUUGCCAGGUGCACUGGGGGUCCGGGGCUUCUCCAAGGAUGGGCUGGCAGCCCCUUUUCCUUCGUCGUCUUGGCCUCUGGCCCCUGGGCGGGGCAGACAGCCCCCCAGUGGGAGAGCCUGCUGGAGGAAGGGCCCAGGGCUGCCCAGGUCCUCGGAGCUCUCUAGGGCCUGGUCCAGCUUGUGGCCCUCCUUGCCAUCAGGAGAGGCCACUGGGAAAGGAGCGAGAGACAGAGGCAGGAGGUCAGAGGGCAGAUCUCCGUCCCUGACCGGGUGGCCCACAGGGUCUAUGGGCCUCUCCGGGGUCCUAGGCUGCUCUGCGGUGGCGCUGGGAGCUGCUUCCGGGCAGGGCUGGAGCCGGGCUGAGAGGGACCCUUCGCUCAGGGCAGGGCUGCUGCACAGGGACACGUCGGACCUGCGGGGGCUGCUGGCCACCGCCACCCUGCGCCGUUUGCUGGGCAGCGAGCUCUCGCGGGCCGAGGCCUUCUGACCAGGGGCGCCGGGCCUCCGCACGCCUCGGAAGGUGAAGGGCUGCUGCCCCCUCCUCCGGUGCUUGUCCAUGUGCCGGUCGAACUGCUCCUUUUUGGCGAAGGUGUAGUUGCAGGAGCUGCAGACGAAGGACCGCUUGCUGAUGUGCGUGACGUUGGCGCACAGCUCGCAGGCGUAGAGCGGGGUGUGCUGCAGCUCCAGCUCCCCGCUCAGCCCGUGCUCGCCGUCCAGGUGCGCGCGCAGCUCCCGGUGCUCAGGGUAGACUCGCGGGCACUGGGGGCACAGGUAGACGCGCUGCGGGCUGUGCACCGCCAGGUGGCGCUGCAGCUUGAACGGCUUGGGGAACCGCUUCCCGCAGUGGUGGCAAUCGCGGGCGGGGUCCUUGCAGUCCUGGUGCACCGCGACGGCUGGGAGGAGGGGCUCGCCGUCGGGACAGGCGUCAGGGGAUGAGGCAGCGCCAAGCGGCGCGGGGUUGGCGCAGGCUGCCGGGCUGCCGGCGCCAUGUGGGUCGGAACUCUCCUCGCGGGCCUUGGGUCUCGGCCUCUCCCUGGGGCAUCCUCUCCCAGCUCCCAGGUCUUGCUCCGCUGCCUCUGCGGGCCCCCCGUCCGCCUUGCUGGUGGAGCGCUUACCCUUGUGGGGUUUGGAGGCUUGUUCCGCGAUGCCGCUCAGGAAGCGUGGAACCACGCUGUCCCCCUCCCAGCAUCCGGGCAGGUCCCCGAAGGACCUCCGCGCCUGCCCCUUGCGGGCGAACCGCACUGCGUGCUCCCGCAGGUGCUCGUUGUACAUCCAGACGUCCGCGACCUCCCGCAGGCACAUGCCGCAGGCCCACAGCCCCGCCUUGCUCUGCACGUGCUUCUCCUGCAGGUGCUCCCGCAGCAGCUCCCGGGAGCCGAACCUGCGCUCCACGCACAUGUAGCAGGUGGGGGGCGGUGAGGGGCUGUGGGCCAGCUUGUGGAGGUCCAGCUCGCCCAGUCCGUGGAAGCGCUGGAAGCACACCCUGCACUUGUAGGACGCCCUCCCGGCCUUGGCCUGCUGGCCUCCUCCUGGGGCCUUGCUGGCCCUGGCUGCUUCCUCUGUGCUGCUCCGUGGGUCCUGGGAACUGGCCGUGGCCUGGAGGUCCAAGACGCUGCCGCCGGGGAGACCUGCAGGGUCUUCCCUGGGUCCCAGGAAGCACAGGUUCUGCAUCUCCAGCUUGGCACCCAGAGUCUCCAGAUCCACCGUGCUCCCGGGGACCCCAAGGUCGUAGUGCUCUCGCUCCAGGUUGGGGGGCUCAGGGCUCGCGUCUCCUGGAGAGGAAGUGGCCUCGUCAGUGGGGGGCUGCAUCUCCAGGCCUCGCCAAGCCGCCGGGACCAUGUGCAGCUCCGGGAUGUUAUCGGACCGGUGGUCCUCCGUGUGGCAGGGGUUGGCCUCGGCCUCAGGCUCCAGGGUCCACAGGCUGGGGCCCGGGGCCCAGGGAGGGCAGGGAGCCAGGCUUCCCUUGGACAGGCCACAGAGGCUUGUCCUCAGAGGUGGGGGCACUGCAGGCGGCGCCCCAGCGUCUGUCGGGGCUGGGGUGCAGUCAGCCCUUUUUGGAGCAGCCUGGGCAGGAGAAGGGGCUGCUGGAGGUUGCAAGCUGGUAGGGUCCCUGCAGGAUGGAGACGCUGGGGGCUGCCCCCCUGGCUCCGCUGCAGGUGCUGUGGGCGCGUCUUCCUGGGGCGGGGGCUCGAGGCCGCGGGGAUGGGGGGUGGCUGCAGCAGUGGGGGUGGAGGUGCAGCUGGCCAGGUCCCUGAGCGGGGGUGCUGGGCUCUCCGCAGCGAACAGCAGAGGCUUCUGAAGCCUGGGGCCGCUGGCCCGCUCCCGAGUGUGGGGGCCAGGACUGUGUCGGGGGUGAGCUGCUGGCGAGGCUGGGCUGGAAGAUCCUGCCUCAGAGCCGGUGGGGCUUGGGGUGGCCUGUGCCUCAUUCCAAAGGCCCACGGCUGCCCUGCUGCCCUGGAGCUGCCCCCCCGGCCGGUCUGCAGCUCCCGCGAGCCUGGCCGCUGUGGUUUCGGGGUGGGCGCUGGCUGCGGCAAGGUCGCGCAGCAACUCUGGCCUCCCUUGGCCCUCUCGCUGCCGCUGGCUGGCUUCAACUUGGCCCGUGGGCUUCUCAGCCUGGCCGAGUGAGCACAGCUGUCCUUCUCCCUCUGGCCCCAGGUGACGUCUGGCCCCAGCAGGGGCAGCUGUCAUCCGCAUAGUCCUUGGGAAGCCGCGGGCAGGCCUGUAAGCCGCUUCCCCGACUUCCGUGCCGUCUCCUCCCAGGUCUGAGGGGUGGCUGUGCUGAAGGCUCUGGGUGUCAGCCGGCGGGGCUCCCUGUAAGGCCAGCGUGUUGUCUUCCCUCUCAGCUGCUCUGGCCACCAGGAGUUGGAGCUGAUGAAGGGGGCUCGCGGCUGGGCCCUGGGGCCUCCUGUCGGGGCUGGGGUCGGGCAUGCAGGCGUGACUCGGGGAGGCCCCUGAGGUUACACACGCCUCGUUACCCUCAAGGCCAAGGUCCCCUGCCACGAGGCAGAGAGGCCCUGCUCCUUCCAGUCCAGCUGUGCUACUCACAGAGUGUCCCUCGGGGGCAUGGCUGUGACUGGCACCAGAAGGGGGGGUGGCACCCUGACAUGCCAAGCCAGGUGCCAGAGGGGCGACAGGGCUGCUGAAUGCUUCCAGCUCCGGGCUCUCUCGGCAGGAUCCUGGGGAAAGCCCCCCUCUCCGUGCGCAGGGAGGGAGCAGCGCGAGGUCCUGGCCGUGCUGUGUGCCGGCGGCCCCCUUGUUCUGAGCAAGUGAAGGCUCCGGCUUGGGGCUGCGGGGGGCUGUGAGGGAGUCUCUGGGCUCUGGUGAGCAGGGGGUUCCUAGGUCCCCUUCUGCCCUUGGCAGCCCCGUCUUACAUACUCUCGUUCUUUGCAGCGGCUGGCAGCUGAGGCUGGCCCCAAUGGGGCUGAAAGGACCCCCAGAAACCACGUCUUUGUGGGUGCCGGAGGGCAGGGCUGCUUCUCCCAGGUGGAAGGGGGGCCACUCCUCCUGGGGGCUCCCCAGAGCACUCCCAGGAGUGGCCCCGGCCGCUCCCACCCCUUCUGGGUGUGGGCUCAGCCCCCCAGGACGGGCGACACGGGCUCCUGGCUGCCGUCCGGGGGCCUCCGGUGCACCCCUGCUUUGCAGCUGACUCUC
rnacentral:lncRNA from 1 species